CCGGACUUUAGCCUUGUGGGGGUGGUACACCCCCGAGGGGUUUAAAGCAAGGCUGUGAUGUCACCGGCGUUGGCUUUUAAGUAGCUCGUUCAGGCGCUUCUCAUCCUUCUUUCUUUUGCGUCCGCUCAUCUUCAUAUCUUGUGACACAUAAACUACAUGUGAUUAAAGUGGUGACACUAAAAACAGGAACUGGUAGUAGGCUGACAUUUACGCAUGCAUAGUCCGUCAUCUGCUGCCAUGUGACAAGCAGUUCUGCAGGUGCACUUUAUGGCCCAUUCUCUACCAUGGUUGUUGCUCCUCCUUGGUCUUUUCAUAGGGUCAGGAACACUGGGAGAAGAUACAGUGGGGAAGAUAUCCUUGGGGAGUUGGCCACUUGGCCCCUGGAGGUCCCAGCAGAGCAAGAGGUAGAAAGUGUUACAUGGAGCUCUUGAGAGCGUGUUGCUGUUUUACAACAAGGAUGAACAGACAAACCAGUUCUGGUUUCUGAGACUCAGGGACCCUACAGUGGAUGACUGAACAUUCCCCACCACAGCUACUCUCUUCAGAUCAGCCCCCUGAGGCUGCAGGACUAUAAGCCUAUAAGCCUGGGUAACUCUGCAUACUUCCUCAAUCAUUAUCACCAGGGAUUUCACCCUGCUUGUCUAUGAGAUGCUGUAGGAGUUGAACAUCUUUGCCAGCUCCCAGAUCAUGAAGGAUGGGACCUGCUUCAUCACCCUGGCCUGCUCCCUGGAACAGGCUGGAGAGAAUGUGCAGAACAGCUGGGAGCCUCCUAGUCAUGGGGCAGUUGUGUCCCAUGGGGGGACCACUCUCAGUGUCCCCUGGAUAUCUGGGGAAAGUGAGAGCUAUCACUGCACUGCCAGGAAUCCCACCAGCCAGAGCUCCAGCUCUGUCCUUACCAGACCCCUUUGCUCAGAUACAAUGAAGAAGAGGUCCAGAUAAAUUUCUACCCCUCAUGUAAAUCACUGUUACAAUCAUCACAACCUGCACCUGACUAGCUUUUUGGCCAUUUCAUCUUCCAGUCAGCCCUGGGAAAUGACUUUGGGAGAGUUCUGUAUUUUGUUGUACAAAGACAACAUUGAAUGUGUUCUAUUAUGGGCUUUUUGUGUCUGUGCUCUCCACUGAACUGUGAGAAAAACACAUUCUUACUGUUCUCUGCAUCUCUAAUACACAACGAGUAAUAGGUGUCAAAAAAUGUGGGUCUGACAAGUAUUUAAAAAGCAUCUGCGCUGGGUGUUGUGGGACACAUGCAGACAUGAUAAUUGGCUGUAGACGUUCACAGUCUCCCUCUCUCUACGGGGCCUGAUGGACAUUUCAGUUCCGCCCCCACAUUCGGCUACCUGAAGGGGCCUCCAGCCCAGCCAUGCCUCUGACUUGUCUUCCUUCAAAAUCAUUUUCCCUGUUUCUCUGUCUUCCUGUCUUCCUUUUCUCCCAAUUACUAACUUGUGGUCAUUGUUCAUUCAGCCUCCUUUGUACCCCACUCCCUGAGGAAAGAAUUUCUUCCUUUUUUGAUUCUGGGAGUUUUGGGGAUUGAAUAGAUUUCACCUGGACAUGGGGAGAAACCAAGAAGAGAAGUACGAGAUGGCGGCCAUCCUGUGAGACACAGAGUUAAAGAAGUUCGCAUGUGGAGUGCUGCCUGAGGCCAGCAUUUCCUGGUGUGAGAGAAGGACAUUGACACUGAUUAAGGCAUAAACCCUAUUUCAUUUACAAACUGAGUUCAAAAUUAUCAGGAAACUGCUAUGUGUCUUCUGUUUAAAAUAAUCUGUUUAUGUUUUAUUGAAGUGUGUUUUUAAGUGUUCAGAAAGAAAAAGGAGCUUAUUUAUUUAAGAAAAAUUGAAUGGAACAUAAAAACAUUGUUAUUGUCACACAUAUAUAUUAUUAAGUUUUUGUUAAUGUUUAAAUAACUAGAUUCAGCCCAGCUUCAGCUUGAAUGUCAUCUCCUUGGAGCAGCCUUUGGCCACUAUACUUAAGUAGAUCUUUCCUCUCAUUCAUAAUCAAUGUAUGUUUAAAAAAAUAAUCUGGAGUCUGUUAGGCUGAGACGGCCCUAGCAAUCUGGGAUUCUACACAAGCAAACAGAAAACCAACUCAGAAUGACUUAACCAGUCGGAAACCACCAGGUAAUCUCUAAAUGGGGAAUUCCAUUUAAGCCAUCAAAUAUUUUCUUUUCUUCUUUUUAUUUUGCAUAGAGACAGGAUCUAACUCUGUUGCUCAGGCUGGUCUCAAACUCCUGGCCUCAAGUGAUCUUCUCACCUUGGCCUCCCAAAGUGCGGAGAUUACAGGCAUAGACCACCAUGCCUGGCACACUUAUUUGUUGGUUUACUUAUUUAUUGUUUAUUUCCCUCACAAGAUAUUCAGCUCUAUGAGGAUAAGAACUAUUUCUAUAUAUAUUUUUUCAAAACUAAAAACCCAAAGGGUAAUAGUGUUUGGCUUAUGAUAGAUACUUCAACAUUUACUGAAUGAAUGAAAGAAUGAAUUGGAGUUGAGAAUAUUUUUUCUUAAGAUUUGAAGACUAUUAGGAGGUUUUACAAGGAUCUGGGGCCUACACCAUUGUCUGUUUUCUCUUUCUGCUUUUGAUGGAGAGAAGCAGCAAAUUAAAUCUUUAUCCUAAAAGUUUCCUAGAAUGCUCAACAGUUAGCAAAAGAAAAAGUUAAAAUAAAAGAAACAUUUAUGUUUUGUUUUGACAGAAAGCUGCUCUGCAGUGCUAGAUACGUUAAUCUAGAAUUUGAACCAUAUACAAAUAACUGAACCAAAAGCAAAAUUUAGGUGGGAAACUUUGAGCUUCUCUUUCUUUUUCUUACUCUCAGUUGAUCAGCUCAUUUCCUAGUUCAUUCACAGAGAGGAUUGGCAAAUAUCACCCAUUACACACAAAGCUUCCAAUCAAGUAGUUAAUGACUUAUUUGGAAAUAUAAGAGGGCAGACAGGAUCACAAGAUAUUUGGGGAAGGCCUCUAACAUGAAAGACAAUCUCCAAACCAAAUGAAUCAGGGGGAAAAAAGAAACUUGGAAGAAAAGAGAUAAUACAGGGAGCAGGAGAAAAUUAAAUAAAAUCCCUCAAACAAUAUUCUUAGAGACAUAUAAAAAGAUUUUCACUUAAAAACAGAAACAGGGUGCCAGCCUAAGAAAAACUGAAAAGUCCAAGAGUAAGAAAGAGCCCUAGUAACAAUAAAUACAUAAAUAAAAAGCAGAAAACUUCUAAAAUUCAAUGGAAGUGUUGGAAAAUCAAAUGAAGAAACUCUCUCAGAAAGUAGAACUAAAGACAAACAGAUGAAAAUAAAAGAGAAAAGAUAAGGCCAUUAAAGAAUCAGCCCAGGAACUCCAACCCCUGGAUAACACAGUUCCAGAAAGGGACAUGUCUUAGUCUAUUUUGUGCUGCCAUGGCAGAAUCCCACAGAUCGGAUAAUUUAUAAACAGUAGAAUUUUAUUUGUCUCAUGAUUCUGGAGACUGGGAAGUCCAAGAUCAAGGGGCUGCAUCUGGUGAGGACCUUUUUGCUGCAUCAUAACAUGGUGGAAGGCAUAACAUGAUCAGAAAGUGAGUGUGUGUGUGUGUGUGUGUGUGUGUGUUUGUGUGUGUGAGAGAGAGAGAGGGGAGGGGGCUGGACCCAUCCUUCGAUUAGGAACUCACUCCCCCAAUAACUAACCCACUCCCAAGAUAAUGGCAUUAACCAAUUCAUGAGGGCUCUUAAAAUUCCCACCUCUCAACUCUGUUGUACUGGGGAUUAAUAGAGGCAGCAGGACCAGAGCACCCAGUGAAAGACAUUAUCAACUAUAGGAAAAACAAAGAAUGGUUAGGAAGGAAAUUGAAUACUCUACAUGGCUCGAAUGUGAAUACUUAUUGUCAUAAAUGUUAAAUACAGUUUAGCAAAAAGCUAUGUUACAACAUACUCUGGCGGGAUGGGCAGAAAGGCCUUUGUGUUGCUGAGUGGCUAAAGAGUGUGGAGGACAGUGGAUGAGAGAGCCAAAUACCUAUCUCCAUAGCAGGAAGUCAAUAACUAAUGUCUAAAAUCAAGAAAGGACAGAACAAAUAUAUCAUUUCUAAAUAUCAAGGAAGUAUCAUGAGAAAAAACAAAUAAUUGACAGUGGUUGCCAGCACAACAGUUGCCAGAACAGCAGUUCUGGGUGUAGUGUGGCAGAAGACUGCUGCUUUUUUUUUUUUCAAAAUUUAUUAUGUCUUAUGCUAUUAGUUGAAUUUUAUAACUAUAUAUAUGUAGUAUUUUGAAAAAAAUUAAAAUAUUAGAAAGCACAUGCACCAAGAGAUGAAGAACAAUAACCAAAAAGAGAACUCAAAGGUCUAGGAACUUGACUGGGUGGAAAUGGGAGGAUUUUAAUGGGCCACGGGGUUCUACAGGAAGAGUGAAUGGUUUAAACAAAGAGGCAGAGACUAAUCAGUCAAAUUUUAGUUGAAACAAAAUUAGAGUUGAAUAUCUUUUCUCCAAAUCUAGGUCCAAUUAUACAUUCAACAAAAUUCAACAUUACUGACUAGUUAAUAUUUAUGCUUAUUUACAGAUAUAACAAAAUUUCAUAGCUAGGGAAGCAGUUCUGGGGCUGUCAGUGAUCUUGCUUGUUAUUCCAGACAACUGUCAUUCAGGGACUCCAGGUAGCAUGAUCCUGAGAGCAAAUGCACCAUUGUUAAAGGCAUAGACGUAUAAAUACAAACCUCUGCCACAGAGCACUAUUCACUCUUUGCGUCUGAAGAGAACCAGAACCCCUUAACUCUUGGGCGGCAGCCUGCCGUCUGAAUGUGAAGGAGAAGGAAGAAUUAGUACAAUGCCUGUUUUUGAGCUCUUCAAGUCACCAGCAUUUUGUAGGAGUGGAAUGCUUCAUCUCCUGGCCCCUAACUUCGGGGUAGCAAAAUGAGAAGCUAAUGCCUGCUGGAAAGGGUCCCAAGAUAGAGAAGCUAAUGCCUGCUGGAAAAGGUCCCAAGAUACUGAAAGCUCUGAGAUUGCACUAGAAGAGAAGAGCUCAAAUCCUGCCACUUACCCACAAAAAGCCAGGGAAGUGAGUGUCUACUGGAAAUUGUUUUAGGUGUGAAGUAUGAACUGUAUGUAUCUGAAGGCUUCCUGCCUUGGUGCUGCCAGAUGCCCUUGCUGUGUGACAGGAGGAGGUGAGAACAGGUUGAAAGAGGAGGAAACGACUAAUGACCCUUAGGAGCAGAUCGAUUACCACCCUAUGAAAGAGUAAGUUGACAGUUCAGACUAUGCAAAAACAAAUUGUUGGAAAAGCCCCCUUCAUUUUUCUUAGCCGAAAAGUAAACAGAUUGCUACAAUCUGGCAUCUCUGUAGUUUUACCCACUCUCUCCACACCCCAAAGUACAGCCAUUAAAGCCCCACGGUCACUACACAUGUCUCUGUGUUAUGACCUUGCUUUUCUUUCUCCUCGAGGGGACUCAUUGACCUUUCUCCAUCUGGCUCAAUCUGUGUCAAGUUGCUUCUUGACCCAUUUGUUUUUCCAUCGGUUGUGAGCUCUUUGAAGUUAGGGGUCAUGCUUUAUCCAUCCCUGCUUCUUGGCCAUAGCACAUAGUUGGUGCUCACUAAAUACUUGCUGAAACACUUGUCAACUAAAGAAAAGCCAAGUUUUUAAAGAAUUAAAGUGAGUUUUAUUUAGUCUUACUGAGGUUGGCAACCCAGGAGAGUCUUUCGGAGAGUUUCUGUUAGACUGCUCCAAAGCAGUGUUUCAGCCUACAGCUUAUACAUAAGGUGACAGUCAUUCUGCCUGUGCUCAAAAGUUAUGUAAGAGCAAAAUUUCACCAAAGUUUGGGUGCAAGGGUACAUCUAGUUAUAGAUUACAGAGGCAUAAUGAUUAAUCCUGUCAACCAUUAUCUUAUGUACAGCAAAAAGACAAAGGCCAGGAUCAUUGAAUUUAUCUUUUCUAAAAAUGCAGUGAUUUAGGUAAGAGAUGUGGUAACCUGGGCUCCAUCCUUCUUAUCAUCUUCAGGGCAUCCUUCCGAAGGGCUGUCCUCAGUCACUGAGUCAGGGGCUUUGUGAAAUUCUGCUGGCAGCUGAAUGAGCAAACAUGGCCUCUUAUGUUUGCUACUUUGUCUUACAGAGUAAGUGAAUGUAAAACAAAAACAAAAACAGAAUGAAUGAAUGAAAGUCUCUGUGAGAGAAGCAACCUAUCCAUUGCUGUUUGCCUUUCCCACAGUUCUGGGUUUGGCUAGGGAGAGUUCACAUCCCUGCUGAUGUUUAUUUUAAAUUUCGAAGCAAUAAGGAAAUUGAAAAAUGGACACAAAAUUCAGGGGUAUCUAUUUCCUUUCUAUUCAUACAGCCUUAUAUUUUGCCUUCUAAGCUAUUCUUUUCCUUGUAUUCUUUUUAGACUCUCAUUCAGAUUAUGUUACCUCAAUAUUCUUCCCUUAGAAGACUUUAAGAAGCAGAUUCCAUUCAACAGUUUUACUCUACAGAAAUACUGUGUGUAAGGCCGGGUGCGGUGGCUCAUGCCUGUAAUCCCAGCACUUUGGGAGGCUGAGGCAGGUGGAUCCCCUGAGGUCAGAAGUUUGAGACCAGCUGGCCAACAUGGUGAAAUCCCAUUUCUACUAAAAAUACAAAAUUUAGCUGGGUGUAGUGGUGCACACCUGUAAUCCCAGCUCCUCAGCUACUCAGGAGGCUAAGGGAGGAGAAUUGCUUGAACCUAGGAGAUGAAGGUUGCAGUGAGCCAAGAUUGCACCACUGCACUCCUGCCUGGGCAACAGAGUGAGACUCCAUCUCAAAAAAAAAAAAAAAAGAAGAAGAAGAAGAAGAGGAAAUACUGUGUGUUUUCCUCAGUGUUCAUGAAGCUUAAUGUGCAGGUAUUUUCAUAAGGUUCUAUAUUUUAUUGAAAAACAGACAACAAAACAAGAAACAGACUAGUAAAAUUGCUGAAUAUGUGCAUGGUUUGCCAGCUGGGCCAAGAGGAGGCAGCAGUGAGCUAACCCAGGGCUUGCUGUGUGGCUUGGAGGAUCCUGUCACCAUCAGCCUGCAUUGUGACCUUGCUUUCAUUUUCUCUCUCUGAGAUGAGGGAGUUAGACUACAUGAUCCUUAGAGUCUCUUCCAGCUCCAAAAUUCUCUGUGUAAGUUUUAAAUAGAUGUUUGGGACUGAUUUAGGUCUGGGAAGAGAAAAGUGAAGGAAACAGACAAAAAUUCCCUCCGUUUAUGAAGCUUACAUUCCCAUGGGGCCUUCCAGACCCUACGGUUGUCAUAGUGGCGAGGAGGCUGCCUGGAUUGGAGGGUAUGAGGCUGGGUAGGAAGUCAGACCAGGGCUUGACCAGUAGGCAUCAGACAGAUCCAGGGACCAGGCAAAGCAGGAAAUGAAUGAAAUUCACUGGGUCCAAGUGAGAUGGGAGCAGGGAACAGGCUCUCCACAGAGCCAAGCAAUCAGAGGGAUUGUGCUAGGUCCCUAACUGACCAGGAGGAGACAGGCAGAGUUGUACCCACAGGACAGUUGGGCCUGCAGAACCUCCAGAACCAGAAAGUCCGUUUAGCAGCCUGACUCAGCAAGGCUUGCUUCUGCUCCUGGGGAGAUGCACAGGUCCCAGCAUGCAAGUGACUGGGAGGGAACAUGGAGAACACAGCAAAGAGGAGGAGCUAGAAAGAGCACCGGAGGAGUGAGGGGAGGAACAGCUCAGAGCCUUAUAGCUGACAAGCCUUCUGUAAGGGUGGCGUGAAUGAGUGAAUGACACAGAGGGGAGUGUUUGCUACUUUGCUUGAUCUGUGAGCACUGGUCAGCUGCCUCUUAUUAUAUGCCUCAACUUUAUAAUGAUAUGAUUAACUGCUAUUCUCAGGUCUUCAGUUACUCUUUAUACUUAAAGUUCUAGAGGCUCAGUUCUGAAUGGAAUCUAUAUAAUUAGCCAGUAGUCUCUUUAUGAUGAGGUAACUUCUGUCGAAGGACUGUGAUGUUAUACUCUGCUGAACACUUUACGUGUAUGAUUAUCUUUACCUUUAAUCUCACUACAAUCCUAUGAGGUAGAAAGUAUCUUUCACAUUUUAUAGAAGAGAAAACUGAGGUUCCAAGAAACUAAGCAUUUUGCUCAUGGUCAUAGGACUAAGAGAAGAUACAUGACGUCCAGAGUUGCUUUUCUCUUUCUCUCUCUCUUUCUCUAUCUCUUUCUCUCUCUCUCUCUCUCUCUCUCUCUCUCUCUCCCCCCUCCCCUCUCUGUAUCUCUUCCUCUCUCCUCUCCAAGUUUUCAGUGUGGUGAAAGUAAUGCAGAUUAGUGACUAACCACUGUGGGUAGCAUGGGUUUUUUCUUCUUUUUCCCCUUUUUAAUUACACAUCCUUUCCUUUCGUUUUCCUGGUGCUCUAAGCCAGCUCACCCCUGGUUUUUUAUUCUGCCUUGUUUGGGAUGGAGGUGGUAUGCAUGGAAGAGCAAAAGCAAAAACUUUAGGUAGCCUCAGCCCUAAAGUAGAGCCAGGAUCCACACCAAUGUCUCCUCUUAACUGCCUCAACCACUUGCCUUGCUGUCUGCCCAUCUUUGAAGUGGAGAUCUUAGUGGUUAGCCUCUGGGCCUCACCUUCAUCUCUCCCUGUCCUCAUCUUGUUUGCUUUCUUCCCAGACUAACUCAGCUCCAGGAUUGUCCCUUCUGGAAGCUAUCCCAUGCGGCUGUCCCUGCCUUAUACAGGAUCUACCUUGGCAGAGGGAAAACAACUCUUGGUCCUUGUCAUGGUAAAUUUUAUGUGUCAACUUGACUGGGCUAAGGGAUGCUCAGAUACCAGAUAAAAUAUUGUUGCUGGGUGUUUUCAGAGGUCAUCAGCAUUGGAAUCAGUAGAUGAAGUAAAGAAGAUUGCCCUCACCAAUGAGGGCAGGCAUCACACAUCUAUCGAGGACCUGAAUAGAACAAAAACGCAGAGAGGAGGGAUAAGGAAGGACUUGUUAAAGAUUACAAAAUUAUAGCUAGAUAGGAGGAAUAAGAGGAAUAAGUUAUAGUGUUCUAUACCACUCUAGGAUGACUACAGUUAACAAUAAUGUACAGUUUUAGAUAACUAGAAGGAGGACAUUGAAUGUUCCCAACACAAAGAAAUGAUAAAUGUUUGAGAUGACAAGUAUGUUAAUUACCCUUAUGUUAUCACUACAAAUUAUAUGGCUCUAAACAUCACUAUGUACUCCAAGAAUAUGUACAAUUAUCAUUUGUCAAUUAAAAAUAUAUACAUACCAUGGAAUACUAUGCAGCUAUAAAAAAGAAUGGGAUCAUGUUUUCUGCGGGAACAUGGAUGGUGCUGGAGGCCAUUAUCCUUAGCAAACUAACACAGGAACAGAAAACCAAAUACUGCAUGUUCUCACUUAUAAGUGGAAGCUAAGUGAUAACUCAUGGACACAAAGAAGGGAACAACAGACACUGGGGCCUACUUGAGGGUGGAGGGUGGGAAGAGGGAGAGGAGCAGAAAAAAUAAUGAUUGAAUAGUAGGCUUAGUAUCCGGGAGAUGAAAUAAUCUACCUGACAAAUCCCCAUGACACGAGUUUACCUACAUAACACAUCUGCGUAUAUACCCCUGAACCUAAAAUAAAAAUUAAAAAAUAAAAUAAAAACAGAAAGGUGAAGGAUGGAAGGAAAUUAGUUUCUUUGCUUGAGUUGAGACAUCCAUCUUCUCCUCCCCUCAG
rnacentral:lncRNA from 1 species